UUCUGAUUUAUGUUUAUGCUAAUUUAAAAGAAUUGAACGUUUUAUUUUAAGUAGUGUAAUUUUCAGAUGUGUAUUUGAUUCUGUGCCUAGGGAUUUUAUCCUGGAAGGGUGCUUUCACUGGUUAGUUUUGAAGUGUUCAUGGGGCCCAAAAUACUGCAGCCCUUUCAGACCUGCCUCAGACCCUUUGUUCUCCCUUGCUAUUAAUAAAGGCAAAAACACAUUCCAGUUUCAGUGCUGCCCUGGAGCUGGUUCUCCACAUGUCUCAGUGAGUGCUUUGGCUCUCUCGUGGGUCAGUACUGGUGGUUUUCCUCCCACUCGUUGUUAACACCUCAUUUGUUAAUGUCUUAUACCUGCUCAGAUUGUGGGGUUCCUGAAACUCCUAGUUUGAUUAGGAUGUUCAUAGGCUUUUUAAAUUUAUCCUACUUGCUCUGGCUGGUUAAUUUUUUUUUAGGGUGGAGGAUUAAAUGAUCAGAAAUUUUACCAGUACCCCACCACUCCCCAUUACCCAAAAACCUUUUUUUUUUAAUGAAGGAUUUUGGUUUGUGUUUCCCUUCCACCUCCUUCAAUCUUGCAGUGGUUAACCUUGAAAAUUUCAUUGCAUAUUUCACAAUCUAUAGUUAAUCAGUAUGUUAAAUGCCUUUCUGAACAAUGAAAGGCACUAAAAUUCAUCAGUUUUCUUCCAACCUUUUUUCAGUAUUUUCGUUAUUUUGCAGCCCAUAUUUAAACAUGAUUAAAUAUUUAUUUGGGUUUACUUUGAUCAUUUUUCUUUUUAGUAUCUCAGACAUUCCUUCUGAGGUAAUUUUUUUUCCCUAAAGGAUGUAUUUCAAAAGUUAUUUUGGGGAAGUUCUGUUAAAGUAAUCUCCAUUUUUGUUCAUCUGAAAAUGUCCUUAUUUUACUACUUUUAAAAUGUAUUUUUAAUGUUUUCAGCUUUAUUGAAGUAUAAUUGAUGAAAUUUAAAGUAUACAAUAUGAUUCGACAUAUGCAUACUUUGUGAUUAUCAGUCAGGUGAUUAUCACAGUCCAUCACCUCACAGUUACCUUUCUGUGGGUGUGUGGUGAGGACGCUAAAGGUUUACUCUCAGCAAAUACACAGCACUUAACUGUUCUUGAUAGUUUUACUAGAUACAAUUCUAGUUUUCUCUCUAUUUUUAAGUUAUUAGUCCACUGCUAUCUGGUUUCCUUUGUACUUCAGAUCAGCUGCCAUCUAAUUAUCUUCCUUCCUAUGGGAUCUUCUGUUUCUCUGCUGCUGCUUUUAAGAUCUCUUCAUCUGUUCUGAUCUGUAGUUUCAAUAUAGAUGCAUCUAUGUAUGUCUUUGUAUUUGUCCUGCUAGUAUACAGUGUGAUUCUUAUAUUUGUGAUGUAUCUUUCUGCCCUGAAAAUUUCUUUCAUGGACUCUUUGAAUAUUACGUGUUUUUCUAGAACUUUAAACUGUCUUCCUACGUACUACUAACUUUGACUUCAGCUCUAUGUAACCUUUUGUUAAACCAUUGAAUUUUUAAUUUUGAUUACUAGGUUUUUCUUUCCCAAAAGUCCUACUUCAUUCUCUCUUAGCUACGCAUGGUAAUUUUGAUGGAUUUUUAGUCUUAAUUCCUUUCUUUUGCUGCAUCUUUUUCUUUCUUUGGGUGGGUCAUAGAUAGUUCUUUCUGUAUCCCAUGGCUGAUAAAUCCAGUACCUGAAGUCUCAGGAGGUCUAAAUCUGUUUAUUGUCUCUGAAUUUUUCCUUAUGGUGUCAUUCUUCCCUGUUUGAUGAUUUUGUUUUGUAAAUGCAUUCUUGAUUGAAUCUGUGGAAAUCCACAAGUUCCAAAUUGGGCAUGUUCUUUCUGAAAGUGUUUUUCACAUUUGCUUCUCUAGGCCAGGAACUGCCCUGGGACAUCUUUGCUCUCUUCUUGGCUCCUGGCCUAAUUCUAGGUGCUCAGGUUCAGCUAGUCUUACUGUGGUUCAGUGCUUGGUGUCCCAGUCCCAGUGCUGAUAGUGGCAUUUGUCCUCAGGGCAUCCGUGGCUUUUGUGUUUACUUACCACUCCUGCUCAGAUUCUAGCUUUUAUAUUGGCCUUGGAGGUUUCCUUGCUUUCCUGAGACUCCAGUAAAGCAUUUUAAAGUAUGUUUAUAAUUAUCUAAGAACUAACAGUAGUGGGAGAGCCCUUCAGACUAUAGGUCUUUCAUAACCCCUACCGGCAGAAUGUUGCCACUUCUGUUCUAGAGCCCCCCAGAUGGCAUAGUUUUGUCUUGUUAUUCACUUAACCUUUCUCUUAUGUGCUGCUAGACUUCUCUGUAAAGUUUGCAUGUUGACUUUCUUAGUAGCCCUUAACAGAAUGAGCUUUUUGGUCCCGUAUCUUUGUCAUGCCUAAAGUUUCUUUCUUAAAUUUAAACUGGGAGUUCAUAAAAGGAUAAUUCGUGAAAUGUAAGAUUUCUUGGCAUUGGUGUGUGUAUCACUUUGCCCUGCAUGUCUCAAGUAUCAGUUAUUUUAUAUACACCAGUUCCUUAGCACAUUGCUGUUAAAUCCCUUCAUAAAUAGGACUCCAGAGUAGUUAUGUAGAUUCAGAAAAUAACUGCAUUCUGUCUGAAACUUUGCAACCUUUCUUUAAAAAAAAGUUUGUUUUGGCAUUUGGCCAAAAGUAAUAAAAUUCCUACCUGACCAUAAAUUCCCUGAUUUCCCCCUAUUCGUCUGCAAACAAUUAUCUUUUUUCCUGUCUGGAAACCAGAGCUCAGGACUGAACAACACAGUGGCUAUUUGUACUGCAUUCUAACACAAAGUGCCCUAAUUUUCCUGCUUCUGCUUGUUUCGUUUCUCAAUACCUAUUCUGAUGCAGUGCUAAAUCACUGUGCUUUUUUGAAGACCGGCUUUAUUGAAGUAUAAUUUAUAUAAUAAAAAAGUGACCCAUGUUUACAACCCAUGAUUUAGUAAAUUUAUUAAGUUGUGCCAACAUCACCGUAAUCUAGAUUUAGAACAUUUUCAUCAUGCUUCCAAAACUUUCACGCGUCCUUCUUGCAGUCUCCACUCCUCCCCAUCCUUUUCUCCCUGCCUUUCUCUCCAGGCAACCAUUGAUGUGUUCCUGUCCAUUAAUUAGCUUUUGCUGGGUAUAUCAUAUAAGUGAAACUAUAUUCUGUAUAGUCUUUUGCAUCUUGCUGUGUCACUUAGCAUGAUGAUUUUGAGGUUCAUUUUAUAUGUACUAUAGCAUUUUUACCCCCUGAAUAUUAGUCCAUCUUAUGCAUAUACCACAUUUUGUUUAUCCACUCACCGGCUGAUCAUUUGGAUUGUCUCCAGUUUGGGGCUGUUAGGCAUAAUGCUGCCAUGAUGCCAUGAGUGUUCACAUAAAGCAUGUUUAUGAACAUGUUUUCAUUUAUCUCGGGUGGGUUCAUACAAGUGGAAUUGCUGAGGCUGUUUUUUUUAAAGGAACUACCAAACGGUUACCCGUAGGGGCUGUACUGCAUUAUAUGCCUGUCAGUGGUGUAUGGGGAUUCUGGUUUCUCUUCAUCUUCUCCAAUGCUUUGUGCUGUCUUUGUCUUUGAUUAUCACCAUUCUCCUGGGUGUGAAGUGCGAUUUUCCUUGUGUUUAGUGUAUAUUUCUACAUUUUUUUUUCCUAUAGGAAAUGGCUGCUCUCUAGUGGUGCAUUCUACACAUUACACUUGGGAAGAGGGCACUAAAUAGAAAGCUUAAAGCUAAAACAUGUUAAAGUUUACAUUGAUUUCAUGUUGUGCCUGCAUUGUUUAGCACACUGAGCCCAAUUGAGGCCCAGGUUCAAAAUGUUCUCCUAAUUACCCCUGUUAAUAGUCCUUAGGACUUGGCUGGUUGGUUGUGGCUUUUACUUAAUCCCUGGAGGUGCCCUAUAUUCAAACGAAGCUUUUGUGCUUCAGAUCUCAUCCACUUUAUGCACUCAGACCUUUUGGUAUAAAGGGUUACACCUGUGGAGUGGCUAAUGCUUAUGAAGUCGGGGAGGAAAAGGCCAGACACAGUUUUGUUGACUCAUACCUACCACAUCCUUUUAGACUAGAGCCAGAGGAGUAAAUAAUUCUUACUAGUGGAGUGAAUGUAAAUUCCUUUUAAUGAAUUGCACACAAGUGGAAUGUCUGGUGGCUCCUUGGUAUUUUCAGGUAACACUCUGUAAAUAUGCCUGUAGAGAGUUGUAAAAUUUUAGAAUGGGUCUCAGCUGCCCCCAGGCUCCUAGGGCUCUGCUGAAAUGAGAGCAAGAUGCACAUUUAAAACUGAAAAAAUUGAGCUAAAGAAGGAACCCGGCCAGGGACUGACUGACUUAAGGAAUGUAUAUUUGGUAAGUAAACAAAGAUGUGGCUUCAGGAAAUUAGGGUAGUAAAACUAAACACUUAAUUGUUUAAGCAAACUGUAGGUUCUUUCUUUAAACCACUAAAUGUUCAAAAAGUAGGGAAAAUGUACCUAUAUGAAAUUUCUCUUAAAUUUUUACACUAGCACAAUGCAUUUACCUAACAAUGUAUUUUACUUUCCUGACAUGUCUGUAAAAUGAUCAUGUAUAUUUGUAUGUGUGUAUAUAUACAUAUGUGCACACACACAAAAGCCUAGUACAAAAUAUUAGAAAGCAUGAUGGACCCAUGGCGUCUGCGCAUGGUUGAUUUACUGCUUCAGUCAAAUGGAAGCAAGAGGAGAGGCCAGACCAUCCAUCCUUGUGUGGCAGUUUGGUAUACAGUAAUUCUACGCCAUAGUAAAUGGAUUAUUUAUCAAUUAUGUUAUCAGUUGGGGUGGGUAAAGGGGUAUAAGGUUUAGGACAGAAGGUAGUUUGUUCAACUUCAGGAUAAGCAUUGGCUAGUAGGGAAAUUGAAAUAGUUGGGGAUUAAAAUUUUUAAAUAUGCAUCCGAAGUUUAAUGUUGCUAUAACAAAUACUGCUUUUAAAAAAAUUAGUAUGUGGAGAUUUUGAUUAAUCCAAUGUCAUUGCCAAAACAACAGAUUCUGGAAUUACUUAACAGACAAAAUUUUAUCCUCUGCCUUUGUUUUGGAACCAAGUCUGAUGAUUUAUAUGAACAGUAUUGUUUAACUCUUCCCAGAAAAACUAUCAUAAAGUCAGUAGGGUAUGUGUGUAUGCUUGCCUGCCUAGUUCUGCAAACAGUUUUAAAGAUGUUAUAAAUUUGUUUUGAACAAUGGUAACAAAUGUGUAGAACACUCCCCAUCCCCUGAUGAUCUUGAAGGACAGUGGGUUUUUUUUUUUGGUAAGUUCUGUGUAGUUAACUCACAUUUAAUAGGGAAAUGUUUGAUUGCUAAUAUUUUCACUGUAGACUCUAGGAUAUCAUUUUAACUCCUUCCUUUUUUGUUACAGGUGAGGAAGUAGAGUACCAGACAUUCAGGCCUGUUGUGCUAGAGCGAUGGGAGUGUCAUGGAUGAGCUUCCAGUUUAUCCAGGAUGAGUGUCAGUUCCUUGGACCAAGAAAUAAGUUUUAAAGAUUAAUGGAACUUUAAAUCCUGAAGAUCCAUGUCAGGGAUUGACCAUCACCUCCAAUGCUGGAAAAAGUGGGGAAACGUAAGCAGCCUGUGAUGUCGUCCGAGGUGCAGGCAAUGGAACAAACCUGGGAAGUCAUGCAGUAUGUCAGAGGCAGUCAACAACCUGAAGAGAGAGUCUCACAGAAAUAAGUACAAAAACAGGCAUUCCACAGAAUCAGAAAUCCCAGUGGCCAAAUAAAUUUGUGGCAAAAUGGUUAACUUCAGUUGUCAGAGAAAUGCAAAUUUAGAGCAUAAUACUGUUUUUCACUUUGCAGCCAAAGCUGGCAAGAACUUAAGCUCAUCCACAGUUGGUAUAAGAGCUUCUAAGGAGAAGUGGUUUGGUAACAACAAAAUUUUUUUUAAUUUGGUUUAUCUUCUGACCCAGAUAUCCCGCUUCCAGAAAUUUAUCUUUUAGAAACACAAGAAUGCAUGAUGAUGUGUGUACCAAGACUCCUCAGUACAGCAUUGUUUGUAACAGCAGAAUAAUUGGGUGGGGUGCCAGGGGAGGCUUAUGUGCAUAACGGGAGAAUGUUUAAAUAAGUGGUGAUAUAGCCUUACUACACAAAAUGAUUAACAGAAGACAUAUAAAGUGGAAAAAAAUACAGUAUAUCCAAUUUUAUGUAUAAAAACAAUGUGUAAGUACACAAAAAUGUUCUGUGCACACAAAGUGUGCCAAACUUAAUGGUUUACUUUGGGGAGGAAGGGAUGAAGUAAACUUGCUCUAAAUUCUUUUUGCUCUGUAUGCUCAUGUGUCUUUUUUUUUUUAAUCUAUUUGUAAAUCAGUUUGAAACAAUUUUUACAAGAUUUCAAAAUGGUAACUCUUGUAGUUGUAGGCUUGGGGGAUCUCUGCAAAGCCACUCUACCAGAUCACUCACUCCCUUAAGAUGCUUGGGAAGACCUCAGGUGCCGUUGGAAUCUCUUCAAAGACUACAGGACAAAGAUGGAAAAACAGGAAGUUAAAUAGUUAACUAAAGACAUUUUUCUGAAGCCCAUGCAGUUGAGUACAAUUGGUUUUCCAGUAAUGGUGUAUAUAUGUGUAUGUAUGCACGUGUGUUGCUCAGGUGAUAAUUUACAGGAAUAUUUAGCAGUGGAGAGAUACAGACCCGUAGCUGUUUCUGCCUCCGACGUGUGAAAUAAGGUAAACGAGAUGUUAGGGCUGGGCCCCAGAAAUUGAGAAGGGUGAUGUAAAGCACUUACCCAGAGCAGACACAUGGUCUUUUAAAGUUAAAAUAGAAUUGUCUUUUUAGAAAGCAUUCCAAGAGCCACCCUCCAGUCUGUUCUAAGGGCACAGGUCUUCAUUAUCAGAGCCUCGCUGUCUCACUGCAGUCUUGGCUUUCAGUUGAGUGUGGUCUGUGGGGAAACCACAAACACUGACAGAAUCCUGUUCUAAGACAAAACAGGCUCGAUGGUUAUACUUUUCUAAUCACAACCAAGUUAGAGAGAAACCUCGAUUAUAUUCUGAAGACCCACUAGGCUUCAAAGCUGUUUGGAAUGGAUUGAGGGGGUUCUAAACACUACCUAGAUGUCUUAAUUAAAAGUGGCCGGGAUUGUGACAAUUUAUAUUUGCAGCAUCUCUGGCAAAAAGUGAACAAAUGCUCGUUUAAAUAACUCAAACUCCAGAAGUGCCUAAACACUGAUUUAAAGCCUGAGAAGGACACACACAGGAGGGUUUCUGUCUCACCUCAGAGUUGCCACCGGUAAUCAGCAAUAGGAAAUGGGCCUCGCAGUGUCCUGGGAAACGGUCCUUACAUACAAAAAGCGGAAACUGCGGACAUUGAUAGAAGUCGGCCUACUUAAAACUAAACAAACUUUGUUUAAAAAGUACCAUAAUAAAAACUGAAAGGCAAGAUACUUUGGAGAAAAAUAUUUACAACAUAAGAGGUUAAUAUCCUAAAUAUAUAAAUCAAGAGGAACAAAGAUGAAUAGCCCGGAAGGAUCAUCUGUUCUUUUUUACUACUCAGCAUCCUCUGUUCAUUAACAGAACCUUUCCUAGUUGUGAACUCAUUCCAUAUGAUACUUAAGUGACAACUUUCCCCACAUCUGCCCAGUUGGGAACUCACACUGGGUCUAGGUCUAGAGUAUUGGGCAUGUAACCCAUGUGCCACACACGGCACCUUCACAUGUAAGGGAACAAAUACUGUAAGAAUGAAAAUGUAAAUGAAAACAUCAGAAGACACUGUUUCCCACCUAUCAAAUGGAGUGAUCUUUUUUUCGCCUUUUUUGUUUUUUCCAAACAUAGUACAGUUGGUAAAGGAGUAAAUGAUCACUGAAUGCUAAAAUCAGUAAGUGAAAGAUGGCUGCAACAGGGAAAGGCCCCUAUUAACAGUUUUGGUGACCGUAUCUUAACCAAAGACUCAAGAGUUACCAUCACUGACGAUUUUAGGUGCCUUCUUAUGUGAUGCAAUACAAAAUACCCAGCACCACCUUUGAAAGAUUCUUGCCAAAUAUAAUCAAGCCUCUAAACCUAAGCUUACAGAGAAUCUACAUAGGAGAUAAGGGAAUGAAUUAAAGGACACUGAGGGAAACACAAAUCCAAGAUGCAGAACAUUACAUUAAAGAGACAUAAUGACCAACUGUAAUGUCUAAAACUUGACUGAGUCUUGGCUCAAAAAAAUGAGCUGUAAGACCUUUGAGGCACAAUUACAGAAAUUUGAAUGUGAACUGAAUACUAGAUGUUGAGAAAUUUUCUUAGCUGCUGUAAUGGUAUUGUGGUUAUGCUGGAAAACGUCCUGAGAAAUGCAUGCUAAAGUUUUUAGGGGUGAAGUGUAACUCAGUGUAAAUAUACAUAUGCACACAUUUUCAUUAAAAAAUAUGAAAAAUCGAAUCUGUCCAACUAGUUUGCUCCAGCAAUGGCUGUGGGAGCAUUCUUUAUGAUAUCCCCAAAUCAGAAAUAAUGUCUAACAUGGGGGUUGCUUGAAUAAAUUGGUACAACCAUACAACGGACAACUUCUACUAAAACUCUGUAAUAGACAAGAUGUGACAUAGAAAGUUUUUGUGGAUUUAGAAUAGAUAAACAAGAUUAUACUGUAUAGCACAGGGAAAUAUACACAAACUCUUGUAGCUCAGAGAAAAAAA